AAAAUCUUUUACAUAAACUAAUUGAUUCAAAUGAAAUAGACACUUAAGUGUUUAGAAAGUGGUCAAAAUUUUUCGUCAGAUGAACCUGAAAUUUGAGGCCAAAAUCGGUUCUUAUCGGACCUACUCCUUUGCCAAUUUCAUAAACAAAAAGAAAUUUAAUCUCAACUAUGAACAAGAAAACAGAUGGGCGCAGAUAAUUUUAGCGCAAAACUACUAGGG
rnacentral:lncRNA from 1 species